CCAGGUCUAUGAAGUGUUUGAAGACUACCUAUCCAUCUGACACAUGUUUCUGUCUUCCAUUGUAACUGAGGACCAGGCUCCAAUACUGCUGUAAUCAAGUCUCUCCAGCAUCCAGGGCUGAGCGUUGUCAGAAACUGAUACCAAGGACCUGCGACUGCCCAAUCCGCUGUCUCGUUUGCCCAGCCACUGGAUCCACACACCACACCCGCCAACCA